rnacentral:rRNA from 1 species
GACGAACGCUGUCGGCGUGCUUAACACAUGCAAGUCGAACGGAAAGGCCCUGCUUUUGUGGGGUGCUCGAGUGGCGAACGGGUGAGUAACACGUGAGUAACCUGCCCUUGACUUUGGGAUAACUUCAGGAAACUGGGGCUAAUACCGGAUAGGAGCUCCUGCUGCAUGGUGGGGGUUGGAAAGUUUCGGCGGUUGGGGAUGGACUCGCGGCUUAUCAGCUUGUUGGUGGGGUAGUGGCUUACCAAGGCUUUGACGGGUAGCCGGCCUGAGAGGGUGACCGGCCACAUUGGGACUGAGAUACGGCCCAGACUCCUACGGGAGGCAGCAGUGGGGAAUAUUGCACAAUGGGCGGAAGCCUGAUGCAGCAACGCCGCGUGCGGGAUGACGGCCUUCGGGUUGUAAACCGCUUUCGCCUGUGACGAAGCGUGAGUGACGGUAAUGGGUAAAGAAGCACCGGCUAAUUACGUGCCAGCAGCCGCGGUGAUACGUAGGGUGCGAGCGUUGUCCGGAUUUAUUGGGCGUAAAGGGCUCGUAGGUGGUUGAUCGCGUCGGAAGUGUAAUCUUGGGGCUUAACCCUGAGCGUGCUUUCGAUACGGGUUGACUUGAGGAAGGUAGGGGAGAAUGGAAUUCCUGGUGGAGCGGUGGAAUGCGCAGAUAUCAGGAGGAACACCAGUGGCGAAGGCGGUUCUCUGGGCCUUUCCUGACGCUGAGGAGCGAAAGCGUGGGGAGCGAACAGGCUUAGAUACCCUGGUAGUCCACGCUGUAAACGGUGGGUACUAGGUGUGGGGUCCAUUCCACGGGUUCCGUGCCGUAGCUAACGCUUUAAGUACCCCGCCUGGGGAGUACGGCCGCAAGGCUAAAACUCAAAGGAAUUGACGGGGCCCCGCACAAGCGGCGGAGCAUGCGGAUUAAUUCGAUGCAACGCGUAGAACCUUACCUGGGUUUGACAUGGAUCGGGAGUGCUCAGAGAUGGGUGUGCCUCUUUUGGGGUCGGUUCACAGGUGGUGCAUGGCUGUCGUCAGCUCGUGUCGUGAGAUGUUGGGUUAAGUCCCGCAACGAGCGCAACCCUUGUUCACUGUUGCCAGCACGUUAUGGUGGGGACUCAGUGGAGACCGCCGGGGUCAACUCGGAGGAAGGUGGGGAUGACGUCAAGUCAUCAUGCCCCUUAUGUCCAGGGCUUCACGCAUGCUACAAUGGCUGGUACAGAGAGUGGCGAGCCUGUGAGGGUGAGCGAAUCUCGGAAAGCCGGUCUCAGUUCGGAUUGGGGUCUGCAACUCGACCUCAUGAAGUCGGAGUCGCUAGUAAUCGCAGAUCAGCAACGCUGCGGUGAAUACGUUCCCGGG